rnacentral:rRNA from 1 species
CACGUAGGGCGCAAGCGUUGUCCGGAAUUAUUGGGCGUAAAGAGCUCGUAGGCGGUCUGUUGCGUCCGCUGUGAAAACUCGGGGCUUAACCCCGAGCCUGCAGCCGAUACGGGCAGACUAGAGUUCGGCAGGGGAGACUGGAAUUCCUGGUGUAGCGGUGAAAUGCGCAGAUAUCAGGAGGAACACCGGUGGCGAAGGCGGGUCUCUGGGCCGAUACUGACGCUGAGGAGCGAAAGCGUGGGGAGCGAACAGG